CUUGCUUGUGCAGCGAACUGUCUGCCACACCUCCCUCUUCAUUGUAAGCCUUGCUUGGGCAUCGUGAUACCACGGUUCCUGUGUUGCCUUCCUAAUGAAUGGAAUUGUCCCUCGAAUGAUGCUUAUCUCCGCCUAGCUCCCGCUCACGCGGUGCGAGCGGACCCUGAAAGCGGUCGCAUGUCCCAUGGUUGUCCCCCCACACACAUGCAUGCAUGCUUGCAUGUGACGGGUGGAGAGCAUGAUGCACGGUGGCUGUUGGUGCUCUUGGAUGCGGAACCUUAACACGGGCGUGUGGGGUCCUUGCAUCUCUUACUCGCCGAGCUAAACGUUCAUUGCUAGACGCGUACGACGGCUGCCACCGUCCUUGCCCUUCCCGUCCCGCCCCCUUCGAAGGGGCAGUCGGUCAGGCGCAUGCGGUGCCGGCGUCGCUGAGGAAUG
rnacentral:misc_RNA from 1 species